GGGAUGUUUAUUUAGAAGAAGACUAUUCGGCUGAUUGUCAACGUUUAGGGUUUUUAUCUAAGCUAUUGAGUAAGCCCUAAGGCGGCUAGAAUUAGGGUUCUAAUAUGUAAAAAUAAACGUGGCGGCCGUUUUCUUUUUCUGAGGAGAACCUUGUAGCAGUAGUUUUUUACCGCAGCCUUCUAAAAUGGUGAAAUCAUCAGAUGUUGCAAAUGUGUUUCACAAAGUUCGAUGGAAAAUUUUCUUCAAAUUUUGCAAUUAGAAUGGACGGAAUUGGAAAGAUCGCUGGGACAAAGGAGCAACCGAACGAAAUAAUCGAGUUGAUGAAUAUGGCAAGAACAUUAUAAGUUGAGGUUGCUUAAAAUUUUAGAUGGUUGGGCAAAACAACACUGGCUAGUGUUAGUUUUUUCAAAAGCUUCGGCAAAAUUAAACUAGCUCUUGUUGGUUUUUCUAAUGGCUUAGGAAAGACAACUUUAGCAAUAGUUGCUUUUUCUAAUGGCUUAGGAAAGACAACUUUAGCAAUAGUUGGUGUUUCAAUUCACAUAGGAAAAACAACACUAGCUACAGUUGGUGUUUAUAGGAGCUUAGGAAAAACAACACUCGCCACUAUGGUACCUGCCAAAUUAAAUCUCAAAGAUUACAACUACAUCAGAGUUGAAGCUGGUGUCUCGAGAACACGAGAACAUGGCAUCUCACACAAGUUUUAGCUGAGGGAUGCAGCAAAUAACUAAAUUAAAUCUCAAAGAUUACAACUACACCAGGGUUGAAGUGGCACACAUUUCCUACUUGAUUAUUUAUUGUUUAAAACUAUGUGUUGUUUGAGAAACACAUAAGAUUUUUUUAUUCCUCGUGUAGAAUAUUUUGCUACAACAUAUCCAUUAUGAAAUAUUUGUAAGAGGUGGAGAGUUUACAUCUCUAUCUGUGUGCUACACCUUAUUCAUGUAAAAAUGAUAUAAAUAAGAGGUGAAGUGUGUUGUCACAUUAUUCAUUUUAUUGAUGAACAAGAUGUAAAUUUGAUGUGGUUAUUAGGAAAGUAAAAUGAAAUUACAAGACA